rnacentral:rRNA from 1 species
AUUGAACGCUGGCGGCAGGCCUAACACAUGCAAGUCGAGCGAGCGGCGGACGGGUGAGUAAUGUCUGGGAAACUGCCUGAUGGAGGGGGAUAACUUCUGGAAAAGGUAGCUAAUACCGCAUACCAUCAGAUGUGCCCAGGUGGGAUUAGCUAGUAGGUGGGGUAACGGCUCACCAAGGCGACGAUCCCUAGCUGGCCUGAGAGGCUGACCAGCCACACUGGAACUGAGACACGGUCCAGACUCCUACGGGAGGCAGCAGUGGGGAAUAUUGCGCAAUGGGCGAAAGCCUGAUGCAGCCACGCCGCGUGUGUGAUGAAGGCCUUCGGGUUGUAAAGCACUUUCAGCGGGGAGGCGUUACCCGCUGAAGAAGCACCGGCUAACUCCGUGCCAGCAGCCGCGGUAAUUC